rnacentral:rRNA from 1 species
ACACGACUACAUUAGAUACCCGCGUAGUCCUAGGCGUAAAUGAUGCGAGUUAAGUGGUGGGGGCAUCUACGAGAUGGCCCUGUGCUGUAGGGUAGACCGUUAAACUCGCUGCCGUGGGGAGUACGGUCGCAAGGCUAGAAACGUUAAAGGAAUUGGCGGGGAGCACCACAACGGGUGGAGCUUGCGGUUUAAUUGGAUUCAACGCCGGAAAACUCAUCGGGAGCGACAGCAGUAUGAUUGCCAGGUUGAUGACCUUGCUUGACAAGCUG